GUCGUCCGUCUGGAGUCGCGGCGGCCGGCCGGGCCGCGCGGCGCAAUACACGUUCCUCGUGCUCUUGUGAUUGUAAAUUUAAUAAUACAAAUUCAAAAAUUAAUUAAAUUUUUAAAAAUUCUAACCGCGUCUAAUCGAAGAUAUUUUUAGGCUAAAAUUUCCCCCGAUCCCCCAUUUUUUAAACCUAAACUGUUGGCAGUGGAUAAAGUUUUGCGAAAUUUUUAAUAUUUACGUCGGUUACAUUUGUAAGAGAUUAAACGUUUGGCCGUUAUUGAGAAUAUUUUUUAUUUAAGAUUUAUUUUUUGAACUAGCGAACGACAAAUCAAGUGAGCAAUAAUUGAUGAAUAUAAUUGAUUAAUGAUAAGCGUUAAAUUAAUCAUAAGGACUUAGGAGUAAUAUAAUUGAACUGACUGCCACAUACUUCUAUCGAGUAUUGUGUUAUUUGGACGAUUGUGAUUUAUACGGACAUUGAACUGUUUUGUGAUCCAAAGACCAAUAUUUCCGGACCAAGACAAUCUACCAUCGGCCGAGAGUUCUCAAGCGUUGUGUAUUUUCUUUUAAAAGAUCCAGCGGAGCGCCACGGGCAGUUUCAUACAGGAUAGGUGUUCAAAAUCACAUUAAUG